rnacentral:tRNA from 1 species
UGUUUUGAGGCUGUUUGGCAAUAGUUUAUAUUUUAUUGAAAUAUAUUAAAUAAAAGACUCUGAUUAAGAAGUUCCACUUGUCCAAAAUAA